CGUAUCUUGAUUUGUUCGCAAACCCGUUUUUCAUUUCAUUUCUCCACCAACAGAUCUCUGCAACAAUAGUGUGGAGAUUCAGAACCUCUAUAUGACAAGAAUCAAUUUUCAUUUUAUCUAUUAGAUUUCAGGUUAGUAUUUGAACUUUAAUUACUCAAUAUUCAUAUAUCUGUCAUUCGAUUUUUUAUCGAGUCCGGAUGUUUGAUUAGAAACAAUCAUGAUCCAGUAUUUUCUCAUAUCUCUCUACUUCUCGUCUCUAGUGAUCUGUUGAGGAAGAAUCUUAGUUAGAAAAACUAGUUAUUUUUAUAAGAAAAUUUCAGAUCUAAAAUUUUUAGAAGAGAGAGAGGCGAUUUCAAAAAAGUUUUAGGGCUUCGUUAUUCUCCGUGGUUGUUUUCUGCGAUUCAAGAUAAAGAUCAUACAUGUAAAAAAAAGGAUUCAUUUUGGUGAAGGUGAAUAAAGAAAUUGAAGAUAAUGUUCAUGCCACACGAGUGAUUGAAUUUGAAAUUGAAAUCUAUAAAGUGCUCUGAGUUUGAACCUUCUUUGACGAUGAAAGAAUAUGAACCAAAGGAGAAAUUAGUUUCUUCUUUUGAAAUUAACAGCUUAAUUCGAGUUUCUGCUAGUUGAUUUUGAAAAUUGGAAGAUCGAAGAAGACUUCUGGACCAAGUGGAAAUAUUUCUUGUAAAUUUUCAGAUUCUGUACAAGCGCGUCAGUUGGAUAUUCAAGGGAACACAUUUUCAUUUGGAGUGAUGUUACUUGAAAUAAUUAGUGGGAGACCUCGAUAUUGUAAAGAUGGAGGAUAUUUGAUAGGUUGGGUAAGGAAAACUCAAUUAACUAUUGCACUUUCUUCUUUUUUUCUGGCAGAGAAAUUUUGUUUACCUGGCCUUCUGGAUUAUUAUCAGUCAUUUUAAAUUUUAGCUGUGUCAGUUUCAUAUUUCAGCUAGUCCGUUAAUAUACAUUUCUGCUUCAGCUUUUUUUAAAUUACAAGAUGGAUAAAAUGCAAAUGUAGCUUUGCAUAGAUGGAUAAAAGUGCAAGUGUAUCUCUUUUCCCAAUAGUUAAACACUUACGAUUAAGUUUGGAACGCGUCCAUAUUUGUGUAUAUAUUUACAUAGAUGUAUGUGAUAAUGUACUUAUUUCUCAUUUCUAAGAUGGAAGAAAACCAAGGAGUGCGAAACUAGCCUUUGGGAGCUGUAAAGCGAGUUUAUGUUCUUUUCACAUCUUUGGAAUCUUGGAUUUUCAUUUCCUUGAUCCUUGACCUUAGCGGCACAUUUUAAACCUAAUUUUUCUUCUCCACUGUCAAGCACGUAAUUGUGUCGUAUCCCAGGCCUGAAACUUCAUGGAUUGAGGUACAAAUCUUAUUCUUAUGCAUUAGAAAUGUUCCUUACCAUCUGUGUCAUUUCUAUGUAUAUAUCUUAAAGUUCUAUGUAUAUAUCUUAAAGUUCUAUGCAUAUAUCUUUUUGAUUAUGUGUUUAGAGGUUUUGAAUAAGAAGAAUAUCUUUGAACCUAUGCGAGAGAUUAGAAGAGCUUUACUUGAAGCACAUGCAAGUACGGUUGAAUAAUAAUAUACAUUUCAGUAUUAACUGGGUUCUUUGAAUGACAAAUGGGAGAAUUUAAUUUUACAUUACAAAGAGCUAAGGUGUACAUAAUUGUACACAUGUUGAUUCUUAAUGUGUACAUAAUUGUAUAAUGUUGAUAUUCAAUGUGCACAUAAUCAUACACAUGUUGAUUAUUAUUAAUGUGUCACCUUCGUAUCAGAUUUUAGGUGCUCAAGUUGAGGUGCGUGUCUCACCUUUACAUUCAAACAUUCACCUUAAUUGUACACAUAUUGAUUCUUAAUGUGUACAUAAUUGUACACGUUGAUUGUUAAUGUGUACUUAAUUGUACACUUGUUGGUUUUCAUGAUUAUUGUUCCUCUGUUCAUGUUAGUUUCAAUAAUUAUUCAUCUUUUAACCCAUCUAUCUUCUUUACCUUCUUAUGGAUCCAAAUUUAAUUGGUUGAGUUUCUGUAAAUACGGUUGUUCUAAAUUUUCAGUAUUAACUUAAUAGCAAACUUGUUUUCUAGCAAAAGAUGAACGUUUUUUUAAUUUUUUGUGUUUUCAUUUUUAACGGUGUAAACAAGGUGUGCUUGUGAGUCAUUAACAAAUCCUGUGGCUAUUGUGGAAGCAUCAUAGAGGAUGAGCUGUAGCGUGAACAAUGUGAGUGAACAUGUGACUUUGCCACCUACUUCUUCUGCCAUUACUGUGUUUUAUGCCAAGAAGCGAGAGAGCUGCGACGUAGGUCUCCGCAUCCAGGAAUUAUUGGUAGGUCCAUCUUUGAUAUGACGCCUCCAUCAGAGCAGGUGGUAAUUCCUGAAAUAUGUGACCCCUAAAUGAUGUCUGUCUAUAUCCUUUCUAUUCAUAUAUACUGGAUACAUUAAACCCCAUAGUUAGCUACAUGCAAUCUUUAUGACAUAUACUAACAACUUGGGUUUGUCACAAGAUGCAUCUGUACAUGAACUACAAUGUCCAGAGACCAUGUUUUGAUAUCUAUUCGACACUUUUUUAUUGAUAUGUUAAUGUGCACAACAAUGUGCACAUAUGGAUUCUUAAUGUGUACAUAGUAGUACACAUGUUGAUUUUCAAUGUGCAUGUAGUUGUACACCUAUUGAUAACUAAUGUGCACAUAGUCCUACUCCUAUUGGUCGUUAACGAAGCUAGUUUUGGACUUCAUAAAAAUAUGUAAUAUAUAAUUAUGUCACUUUCCUACUUGAGUGGUCAAAAAAUCUACGGAGUAAACAUGUGAAAUGGCAUAUUCUUGACAUGUACAUAAUUAUACACACAUGUUGAUUGUCAAUAUGGUGUGUACAUUAGGUAUUAUUAUUGUUCAUGGUUGUUCUUUAACCAAAUGAUGGACGGGAUGCGAUUAUCGUCUUCAAAAAAUAAAUUGUUGAUUCCAUUUGAUACAUUUCUUAAUUUUCUUGUAAUUUUUUUAUUCAUGUGUUUGGCUUAUUAGUUGAACUGACUUUAUGGUCAUGUAGAUGCUAUUUUUGAGAAUAUACCCACGUCGAAGAGAUGGAAGUGGAUCAACAGGUAUUGGUGUAUCAGUUAUUUUUUUAUGCUAAUUAAUCUAGCUAAGAAGUGUUUGGUUUGAUUAGAGUUCUCGAGUAUGAAAGAAGAUGGUGUUACUGAGAUUUCAAGGGUGUUAGAACUGUUGAUUUGAUGAAUAUGAGAUGAAGACAAUACUGUUACUUUGUGUGAUUUAGAGUUUGCAGUAAGCUGAUAACGAAAUGAAUAAGCAUUGUGUAUUGUUGCUGGAUGAGCAAUUACAAGCUAUGGAUGAGCUGCAGCUGGCUAUGAAGCAAUUGCAGGUGAUGCUAUGGGAAAUUUGGAAGAAUGGGUUUGUUUCUAUGUUGUAGUACAAGGAAUGGUGCAGCUGAGUACUGAUGGUAGAACUCUGAAGUGGUGAUCUGGUGAAUAAAAAAUUUGAGUUGAAUGGUUGAGGUGUUGUAGUUGUUUGCACCAGCAGGGUUAAGAGUGCUUGAGCAUUGGAGCUGGUGUUGGUAACGAGUUUGGAUUGUAAACAGGUUGUAUUUUUAUAGAUGUGUACAUGUUUGUACACCAAUGUAAGCUAAGUUUUUCAAAAAAUGAGAAUUAUAUAGUCAUAUGGGUA